UGGGGAAUUUUGGACAAUGGGCGAAAGCCUGAUCCAGCAAUGCCGCGUGUGUGAAGAAGGCCUUCGGGUUGUAAAGCACUUUUGUCCGGAAAGAAAUCCUUGGCUCUAAUACAGUCGGGGGAUGACGGUACCGGAAGAAUAGGCACCGGCUAACUACGUGCCAGCAGCCGCGGUAAUACGUAGGGUGCAAGCGUUAAUCGGAAUUACUGGGCGUAAAGCGUGCGCAGGCGGUUUGCUAAGACCGAUGUGAAAUCCCCGGGCUCAACCUGGGAACUGCAUUGGUGACUGGCAGGCUAGAGUAUGGCAGAGGGGGGUAGAAUUCCACGUGUAGCAGUGAAAUGCGUAGAGAUGUGGAGGAAUACCGAUGGCGAAGGCAGCCCCCUGGGCCAAAUACUGACGCUCAUGCACGAAAGCGUGGGGAGCAAACAGGAUUAGAUACCCUGGUAGUCCACGCCCUAAAACGAUGUCAACUAGUUGUUGGGGGACUUCAUUUCCUUAGUAACGUAGCUAACGCGUGAAGUUGACCGCCUGGGGAGUACGGUCGCAAGAUUAAAACUCAAAUGAAUUGACGGGGUCAUAGCUG
rnacentral:rRNA from 1 species